rnacentral:lncRNA from 1 species
UCAAACAAUCACGUUUGCAAAAAUUCAUAUUUCAAAUCAAUAUAACUCGAAUUUUCAACAAUUAAUAGUAAUUUACCUGUUGAAUCUGCACACAAACGAAUGAUUAAACUAUAAUCUACACGUCGAUAGCUUCGUUUUGACUAUUCAUACGCCUCCAUCGGAUUCCAAUAACACCUUCAAAUCUUCGUUUGAUUAUGAAGAACACGAAGAACAUACUUCGGUUUCUCUCGGUAUUCGUGCAGAGAAACUGGUGAAAAUGAUUUACGGUUGAAAAUAAGGUGUAGAAAGGGCUAUUUAUAUUUACAAAUAAUUGGUACCCC